GUUGGAUACUGGGAGAAGAAGGAAGAGUCAGUGCUUAGAGGAGCUGCCCAUGAGAAACAUCAAGGAGAAAAUACAAGGGGAAAGUGCCUCCCUCACAUGGAUCCUGCCUGCAGAGCUGCUGUUGCACCGUUCCUGCCCCAGCAUCCAGCACUGAUUCACCCCACAGGAGCCACAGCUGCGCCUGUAGGUGCCACUGUGAUCCAGCUGGGCAUGGACACUCUGUUGGGGACAGGUCCUGCUGCUUCAGCUCCUUGUCUGCCAGGAGCUCCCCCAAACUCUGCCUGGCCAUGCACCAGGAUUCAUCCUUCCCUGCUGACCCCCAUUCUGGAGUUGUAUCUGUUCUCCUCCUUUCUGGAUGGGUUUUGGGGUGUCCAUUGCUCCCUGCACGUGGGAGAAGGCAGACUCUUGCUUUUACACCUGCUGCAUAAACGUGUAAAUGUCAUGAGGCCCCUCGUUGCCAAAGAUGCUUCCUGAAGACUGAAGGUGCCAGGAAAGACCCCACAAAGCAACGGGACUGUGAUAGGCAGAAACCUGCCGUUCUCCCCUUUGUCGCUGCCAGCAGCCGGGGCUGGGGUGGCCUUGGGGACAAGGGGACAGGAGGGGCUGGCAAGGGCGCAGGGCCCGGCAUGUCCCGGCCUUUAUCUCCCCCUAGUGCCACCCGCCAGGCUCCUUUGCUCCGGUGCUGCCGAGCAGAGUCCGGCAGCGCCGCUCACACACGGCAGCCCUGGGGCUGAGGGGGCCAACUCUGGGCCAGCCACAUCCCAGAGCAGCGCAGGGACUGUGCGGAACGGGACAGGGCACGGCUGUGGGGCAGGACCCUGUUGGCCAUAAAUGACCUGAAAAUCCUGCUCAAGGAAGCCUCGGAAGAGCCACGACAUCCAACUGCAACAAGGAGGUGUUGGCCUUGCAGGAGCUGCGGUGGUGAUGGCAAGAGAGGAGAUGGUGGAGAGUGAGGUGCUGAAUGUGCCUUUGCUUGGCCUGAGGGGAUCCAAAAGGUGACAUUUCCGAGGCUGUUCUGGUGGCACUGUCACCUGAGCAAGGCCAAGGGUCCCUCGGAGCUGUGACAUUCCUGAAGGCAUGGGACAGGGUCACCCCUGCCUGUGAGGCCAUGGGGAUGAGGCAGCCUGGCCCGUGGAGCUGGAGAUCCCCUUCGGCCAGCAGGACCUUGCUCAGUGCUGAGCCGUUGUCAUGAGCUGUGUGUGCUCUCAGUUGUGUCCGGGCUCAGCAGCAGCCGGGUGUAGCACACAGCCCGCGGGGCUCUGCUCCUGUGGCUCCUCCUCUGUUCUCUCCGAGCUUCCCAUCGCCCGUGCUUUGAGCAGGAAAAAGGGGCAAGAGGCUCUUCCUCACAGUCUGGCUCUCCCCUCAGCCCGGCAGGGUAAGGUGUGGCAGGGAAAUGGUUAAAAAUUGGCACCACCAAAGGGCUCUGUACAGCUGGGUGGGGUCACAGGCUCGGUUCGGCUCCCCUGGGAGCCGCUGCGCACCCUGCUGCAGGUGAGUGCUGAGCUCUGCCUCGGGUCACCUGGCACCACUGGGGACUCCGCGUUUUGGGGCUGUCCCCAAGCUGGGGUUGGAGCCUGUGCUGAUUUAGUGCGUUUCUAUUGCUCUCCAAGUUUGCCGAUGCGUUUUUAGCGCUUAGAAAGUGCCCAUGGUGCUGGGGACACGGGGCAGGCUGGGGGGCGCAGGGCUGGGUGUGUGGGGGCAUACAGGGCAGGGUG